UCUCUGUUCAUGGGUGUCCCAUGUUCAUAUAUAUGGGGUUGUUUGAAACAAGACCAUCAUGCCAUCUGGCAACACAUCCUGCUGGGCCGCCUGGUGCAGUGGUGGAGCAUCACAGGACUUCUGCCCAAACAUCCCGAAGCCCAUGAGAUGAAGAGGAUAUCUCAGAUGUGGUGUGAGAUGGACCAGAAACACAGGAGAACAUGUCUGGAGUUGAGCGGUUAUGCUGAGGAUAAGUGCCGGUGGAGCUCCCUUAUUCAAGUUAUGGUGGCUCAUAUGGAUGAACAACAUGGGCCUGUAUGGGUUUCAGAAGAGUGUGCCUUUCAGACAUACCCACCGCCAUCUCUAGAAGCUUUGCUAAAGCUAGUGCUGCUGCCUAAUAUUGACAUCCUGUCUGUCCAAUCCAUUGUAUCCUGCUUAUUUCUAUUUUAACGUUUAGUUCUUAUAGUAUAUUUAUUUUAAUAUUUAUU
rnacentral:lncRNA from 1 species